rnacentral:lncRNA from 1 species
AAUGGGCUUGUCUUGGGGUUGUGGAAUGAGAAGUAGACUACACAUCGUUUUGUACUUGACUUAAUAAAGUGAGUGAGAAGGCCAGCAGCCAGGUGGGUCAGAGAGGGUACCUUGGAGCCACGUAGCUAUCUUGAGAUCAGAUCGCUUUUCAAAGACACUGACUUCCUUAGAAAGUCUUAUUUGAGGGUUUCACCAAAUUCAGCUCAAUAUUUAGUUAACACAGACGAAUUAUUAUGGAACAUGUUAAUUCUGUUUUUCCAUUUUUAUACAAUCAGUCGAACAUUUCCUUUCGAAAUACAAUACUCUUUCAGGUUUUGCUCCGAAGCGGUUUUUUCUAACUUUCUAUUUCUAUUGCAAUA